GUCAGUUUCAUAUAUACAUAUUCAAGAUCAACGUGUUCUAAUUCGAAUUAGAUGUAAGGUACAAUAAAAUCGUAGUUGUAACGUGAGCCAGUACCUCUAUCAAAAUGUUAUAUAUAUUCCAUGUGGAGACAGGAAUGAUGAUGACUUUUGAUAUAAACCUAGCCCUUGAAACUGUUGCGCAUUUAAAAGGAGUUAUUUCUAAGGAGUGCAAGAUUCCUGAAGAAAAACAAGUUCUUUUGGCCAGUGGAGGUGAAACUUUGGAUCAUCCAAACCGUGUUUGUAGCUAUAGUGCAGGAACUGACACAAGCCCAAUUUUCCUUUUCAGCAAGGUAGCAAUAGAGUCACCUUCUCCACCUGUACCAAGUAUUGAUUAUGGGACAAGUCCAGAUAUGAAGAUUUAUGUAGAAAGUUGCAUAGACUUGCCCUCAACAUAUGAAACUGUGCUUAACAGAGCACAUUUAGCCCAGCAAUUUCAUGAAUUAGCCAAAAAACAAGCAAGUACUUGUAAGAAUCUAGUUCAUGACCAACAUCUUCAGCAACAAGGGUGGGCAGCUGUUGUAGCCAACCUUGAUGAUAUUACCCGUGCAUUUAGGAGUAGAACUGAAACUUUUAAGCAGAACUUCAGUGAGUAUCUACAGAGCAGGAGCUAUAAAGUUGAACUUCUCCAUAAUUUUAGCCAUGAUUUAAGCCUUCUGUCCAAGAUACCUAUCUUACCAUCUCUGUUAUGUGGAGUGUCCCAACAGGUGACAGAUUCUUUACAUGGAGAUAGUACUGCAUUGACCUUGUUACAGUGGAUAAGUUCUCAGGAUAAUCAGAGUAGUCUCGAACAUGUUGCAGAUCAGUGUCUUCGAGGACUUGAACAAUUUAGUGGGAGCACACUACAUGUAUUAUGUGGUGAAAUAGCUGACACUUUAGAAAAGUUAGACAAUGCUGAUAUGAAAGAAGUUAAAGGUCUAGAAGCUCGCUUGUAUGGACUAGAGAAGUUGAUGUUUGAGGCGCAACGAAUUGUAAGAGAACAGAAUGACUUGGCCCAGGCAUUUGUGCAGAAUCAAACAAGAGCGAGUAAUAUUGGAGAUACUUCUAUUUUACCAGAUUUGUGUACAUGCCACAGUAAACAGCUUCAGUUAAUGCUAAAAAACCAUGUGCAGUUAGAAGGGAUUUUGCAACGAUGUAUGGAUGCAAAGAAAGAACUCUCUUCAAAUUUACACAUACGACUUGGGUGGAUAAUGUAUGUUGAAGGAAAAAUCUCUGAUUUAGACAAUAAGCUCUCUAUAUAUCAUGAACAUUUGAAAAGAUUGAAAUGUCACCUAGAUGUUGUAGAACAGAUUCAUCUUACUCCUCAAGUUUAUAUUGCUGCUGUUGUAGAAGUAGUUAGGAGAAGAGAGUUUUCUACUGCUUUCAUGCAGUGGGCAAAUAGUUUAUCAGAGCAUUCUGUGCAUGAAUAUGAGGUGGAAGUGACAACUAGAAAAGCUUUCAAUGAAAAGAUUGCUAAUCACUUUCUUCAGUCACUUUUUCCUGGUAUGGAAGAUCUUCCACCUCCAUUUGCUAUCAACAGGCCUGAACCAUUUGACCAAGAGCUUCCAAGCAUAUUUGAAGAAGAUGUAGAGGAACUGAAAAAGAAACUUCCAGAGUUUGUAGAAAACUUUAUAUCUCUUUCUGAAAAUACAGAAAAACAUAUUGCUACAGUGCAAAAACUCUCAGAAUUUACAGAGUACAGAUUCUUGAGUAAUGAGCAGCAAAACACAACACAUAGGGCUUUUGACUCAAGAGUGAUUGCAAGGUCAAAAAUGCUCACAACUUCUGAUGAGGAGGAUUUAGCAGCCAGAGAUUUUAGUCAUGUACAACAGACAGCAGAAUAUACAUUAAGAGAACAAAUUACUGAAAAGGAGCAGUGUAGUUGUGUUAAGAAAAUACCUGUAACUUCAAUGGAAGUACCAGGAAUUUCUCACAGAGACUGGAAGGAAUACAGUGGAGAAGGGUUUGAGCCCUUUGGUUCAAAGGAGGAAUCAGAAUUCUUUCCAAAACCAGUGAUCUUUAAGCAAUGUUUUCACCAACAUCGAGCUGCAGAUUCAGAGCAUAAGAAAGUUCUGACAGAAAAACUAGGAAUUAGAAAAGCUCAUAGUGAUGGGGAUAUUAAAAAAACUUUAAGAGAUUUUCCAUUGUCAAAUUCAAAUUUCGUGUCUCAUGAUUUUCUGACAGCUGAUUUCUAUAUUGAUGAAUCUCUGCCAUCCUCUUAUACAGAAAGCAAUGGCACCUCUGGUGCAGGAAGGGGAAGCCAUAUGGUAAAAUCUCAUCAUCAAGUAAUUGCUGAGUUACAAAAACAGUUAGAAGAGAAACAUUCAACAUUACUAGAUGUUCAGGAGGAGCUUCAAAGCAACAAGCUUAAACUUUAUCAGUUGCAGUCUACAGUCACAGCUUUAGAAGACUUAGCCAAACUCGUUCAGAGGUCUCUAAGAUCUGAUCUAGCAAACCUGCAGGAUAAGGUUCUUCAAAGCCGCCAAGGAGUCCUAGAAAAUCUUCUUUCCUUAAGUUCCAAGGUACAGCAAGCAGUAGAACAUGUACAUGUUGAGCUUGGUCAAAUACAGAAACAAGCAGUACAAGAAGUUUUGGACAUUGCAGAAAAAGAGCAUCUUGUAGAAAUUCAACAUUAUCAACAACAGCUAGAUGUGAAAAUGCACAAGUUAAAAGAUGCUCAUCAGGAAAUUGAAGUUUAUCAUCAACAGAUGGUUUCUCAAGCUGACAUGAUAGACAACGUAAAACAUGAACUUGAAACAAGUAUUCAGCAAUUUCAAAGGGAAAUAGAAAAGGAGAGAAAGGAAGUUCUCCAGAAAAUGACCAUGGAAAAUGAGUUUGAACUGGAGUCUCUUGGAGUAGAGCUGAUGAAAACCAGUUCAGAAGGAAUCCAGGAGCUGUCUCUGUCUUUGAAAGAAAAAGAAACUCAGUCUCAGCUUUUGUACAAAGACAAACAGUCUUUUGAAGAAGCUUUGAUCAAAUGUUUCCACCAAGAAAGAGCAGUUUUAAUUCAGAACAUGGAGGAAAAGUUCCAAGAGCAUGAAAAGAAGACAGUUGAGUGGGCAAUACAAGAAGCUCACAAGAAUCAUCAGAAACAGCUUGAAAGAGUUCAGAAAGAAAAAGAAGAGUAUAUUGAAAUUUUGAAAAAAGAAAUAACACAAGAACUAGAAAAUAAGUGGCAAGAUAAAGUCCUCCAGUUAAAGGAAGAAUUGUUUUCUGAACACCAGAAGGAGUUAAAAGAUAAACUUGCUGUUUUGGAGAACCAACAUGAAGAAGAAAUUAAAGUACUACAUGAUAAACUGGAACAGGCACACAAAAAUGAAAUGCAGUCUCUCCAAUAUUGCUUUAGGAUGGAUAACAGUACAAAAACUGUGAAAGAAGUUAUGGAUCUUGAUACCCAUGAGCAGACUGUGGCUGACCUUCAACAACAGUUUGAGGCAGAGGAGAACAAACUGUUAGCACAAGCAGUAGAAAUAGAGAAACGAGCAUGGGAGGUUAAGCUACAAUCAACUGCAGAAGAAUUAUUACAAAAACAUGAAAAUGAAAUGGUAGAACUUAGUGAAAGACUUAAUAGAGAACAUCAAGAUCAACUUGGAAGCUUAAAAGCUAGGAUGCAUGCUGAAAAGCAGGUAAUAUUCAACCAAGCAGCGGCACAAGUCACUAGAGAAAAAGAUGUGAUUAUAGAAAAACUCAAGAGAGAAAAAGAAGAAUUGGAGAUGCAUUGGAAACAAGAAAGAGGAAGAGUAGUUUCGGAAAGAACUGACAUUUCAUCAGACCAAAGACAAUUGUUUGCAGAGGCUAUAGAAAGGGAGAAGAAGACUAGUUUAUUAAAUUCUACCUAUGGAACCCUUGAAAAUCUCACUCGGACUCUUGAAAAAAAAGUUGAGAAUCCAUGAUCCUUCACUGUGGAACCUUAGUGAGAACCCUGACCAUGAUCCAAUGAGAAUCUGUAAUGGAAGUCUCAACAAGAGAAGAUUCGCAUUCGUCUGCAUGUAAAUCGCUCUGUACAAGUUCAGCAGGAGACA
rnacentral:misc_RNA from 1 species